AUUUUACAUAGGUGGCGCUAGUAAAAAUAAAUGGCAGCCUCCAUGGUUAGCUGUACGCUGCAAAGUUAUUUUGAUGCAUCCUGUGAUGUUUAUUGCAAAAAUAUGUGUGAAGUGACAUAAAUUGGUUGAAAGGAUUCUACAAGAACAGAUUAGGCAUAGUUUUCGGGCACAAGUAUAGCCAUGUGUCGUGUUGAUUAGUAUAUUGACCUUGUUGACAUGGUUGACGUUCUCCCGAAAUGGUACUCGCCUACUGACACCGUUCUGAUCUAUAUCAGAAGUUUAAAUUCUACGGUAAUCCACCAGAGUCCAAGAGUAAACUCUCAGAGAGGGGUGGCAGUCCGAUUUUGUCAGCUUACUCGACUUGGAGAGGGAAGAUAAUGUACAUUUUACAUUUGACCAGAAUGUAUGCGAUGGGCUGCAUCAUGGUUUUGAAGGAAAAGGUUACAUUAAUUAUUACAGACAGCAAGAAAACAUCAUUGAACACCAACAACUAAUAAGACUCCAAAGGAAUAAUGGAAAAUAAGAUAUUUAAAGCUGUCAAAAAGCAGAGUUUAGAGUUCAGUGGAUUCCAUGAUGGUACUUUGGAUAAUGUUAAUCAGGCAGCAAUUCUUUUCCAAAGGAUCUUAAGUGCUUUUAGAAGAGGCUAAUAAACAAAGGACAGUCACUUACUACAGCAGAGAAGCAGGGGAGAUUAAUGAUAUUCUGAGUGGCAUGACUGCACCUUACAAAGAAUAUGUAAAACUUUAAAAAUUGUGUUUACAUAUACAAUGAUUAUAUGAUUAAUGUAUCUAGUAAUCAAUAUUAAUAUGAUUAAUAUUUUCAAAUGUUUUUUACAUUUUACUGUUCAUUAAUGAAAAAAAUAAUUUGUGUUGUAUUUGAAUUUGGAAAUGUAAAGGAAUUUAUAUUAAAAUGUAAACUGAUAUUCUUACAUGUAAACAUGUACUGGCGUAUGUACAUGGUGUAUUUAUUGGACUCUGACAAAAGAUGAUGCUACUUCUUUUUUGGAGAAAUUAUUAAUCACAAUGAUUUUUGUGCACAUGAUUUUUUUUAAUUUUCUAUAGGGUAUGGUAUCUAUGAAAACUACUCAGCCUUUUUGUUUGGCUAUUUUUUAAAUCAUAGAUAUAUUUUAUUUUCUUGAUAACCGAAAUCCUCAAAAAAUGAUAUUUUGUUGUUUUUUGUCAACAUGAAUUAUCUCCCCCUUUCAGCUUGAAAUUAGAAAUAAUACUGUAGAUAUAGAUAUAAUUUGAUUAUUGAAAAUAAAUAAUUGUGUUGUAUUUGGA